UGAUAACAUUUAAUUACAAUGAGAAAAGAGGAAUAUUACCCAGUCAAAGUGUUUGUAUGAUGCAUUUUAAUGUCACUUUGCCAGAUUACAGAUCAUAAGUACGCGGCACCCUUAAAUGAAAACUCCUCAUACACAUUUGACAGCGAUUUUUUUCAUUUACACCAAAUGAACUUGUCGAUGUCGUUCGACACCUGGUCAACGUUUUUGACAUAUCUGUUUCUCCACUUCCCGUGUGACAACAUCCCAUUGGUUAGAAACAUUGAAAGGUCGGAAUUCCUGACUUUUCAUUGGUCGUCAGUGCUGUCGGUGCAGCGCGAAGGCCCGCCCUUUAACUGCUCUUUGCUAUGUGGAUUAUCUCUCGAAAUGAGAAAGCGACUAAGAUCGGUGGUCCCCUGGCUUGGCUACCUGAAGGAGUGCCUGAAGUGCACGCUCCUCCUCUUCAGCUUCUCGGGAUUGUGGGACGCCAUGUGUGAGAAUUCUCGGAAGAUGUCCAGGUACGUGGCGUCUCCUGAGGAAGAACCACAGCCGAGGAUGAGGAUGCAAACACCGGAUGGGGGCGGCGGAGCGGAAUGUUAAUGAGCACCAAAGCCUUUUCUCGACACCGAACGGUAGUCACGGCAACGACUCGGUCCGACCACACUGUAUCUUUUGUGUCACCUCUGUGUUCUCAGGCUCAAUUAAAAAACAAACAAUGAA